CACCCGCCCACACGGUUUGCCGUGUUUUCACCCUUCUUUGUUCUCCACCGGUCUGGGCAGGGUCUGAGGACUCCGGAGAGCAAGGCAUGGGUCCGCCUCGUGCCGCAGGUUCCUGGCCCACGCCAGCCGUACCCAGUAGCACAAUGGUAAGCGCAUGCUGGCGAGAGGUAGGCGGUGUGAGGAGGGGCUGGUUUCGGGGAGAGGACAGUAAUGAUGAUUUCUGGUGAUUCUGAGUGUCUCGCUGACGCCAUCACCGCAGCGCGCUGACCGUCCCCGGGUCCAAAAUCGGCAGUGGCGUGGGUUUUGAGUGGCCUAGAGUUCUGAGUAAUUUACCUCUGUGUCUUGCUUUCUGGUAGGGAUUUGAGGACACACGCCAGCUGCCUACACCUGAAGAAAGGGUGAGCUCUGAGGACUUCACAGGGGCCCCAUCCCCUCACCUAGAUGAGGGCUAACCUUGGAAUCCAGACAAAGGUGGAAGUGACCUAGAUGUGACCUGAAUGAGCUAAUCAUCUAAUGAGAGCCAGCCCUUUGUCCUGCCCACAUGAAGGUGGGUGGUUAGCUCACUUUUCAGGGUAAUAAAGCAGUAAAGGCGGGGUGGAGGGGUUGUUGAAGGCUUUGUAUGAUGUCACUAGGGCCUGUAAAGUUAGCACAAUGAACCCGCUGUGCAGAUUGUAAAGCUGACCUUGUUGGAAUAUCCUGGUUUUAGAAACACAUAAAUCAGCUUUGUGUUUGCUGUUCCCCUGCUGAAAAUGUUCUUCUGAAUUUUCAGGGCUUUGCUGCUACGCACUGACAAGUUGGACGGCUUUUUAUUGCUUUGUUGCCAGUUAUCUGAACAUGAGAGGCUGUAAGGUGUAAUCUGCGAGCCCUGCGCCCAGACUGAACCAGGGCCUCCCUUGAACAUGAGUAUUAGACAAAUGAAAUAAGAACUUAUCUUGCCCAGACUAUAUAAUGGCUUGGAAAUGCAUAGUUUCCUGAACGAUCUCAAUAAAAUACUUUUAAAAGUACUUAAAUAGACUUUUUCUGUGUCACUUUGUGGGGAGGUGUGAGAAGAUAUAGGAGCUAGUCAUUUCAUGUGUCUGGUUCCUGGUCCCUUAACAGCAUCUGUUCUGGAAGUACAGAUGAAAAUUCUAUACAGACCUGUAAGGCUGACCAUAGUUUUAGCAGAUUAGCAU
rnacentral:lncRNA from 1 species